AACAGCUUUGAACAGUUUUGUAUCAACUUCACAAAUGAAAAGUUACAGCAACAUUUCAAUCAGCAUGUGUUCAAAAUGGAGCAAGAAGAAUAUAGAAAAGAAGAAAUUAAUUGGAGCUACAUCGAGUUCGUUGAUAACCAAGAUGUCUUGGACCUAAUUGAUAAGAAGCCUGGAGGAAUAAUUGCUCUUUUAGAUGAAGCUGGUAUGUUGC